rnacentral:rRNA from 1 species
GAUGAACGCUGGCGGCGUGCCUAAUACAUGCAAGUCGAGCGAACAGACGAGGAGCUUGCUCCUCUGACGUUAGCGGCGGACGGGUGAGUAACACGUGGAUAACCUACCUAUAAGACUGGGAUAACUUCGGGAAACCGGAGCUAAUACCGGAUAAUAUAUUGAACCGCAUGGUUCAAUAGUGAAAGACGGUUUUGCUGUCACUUAUAGAUGGAUCCGCGCCGCAUUAGCUAGUUGGUAAGGUAACGGCUUACCAAGGCAACGAUGCGUAGCCGACCUGAGAGGGUGAUCGGCCACACUGAAACUGAGACACGGUCCAGACUCCUACGGGAGGCAGCAGUAGGGAAUCUUCCGCAAUGGGCGAAAGCCUGACGGAGCAACGCCGCGUGAGUGAUGAAGGUCUUCGGAUCGUAAAACUCUGUUAUUAGGGAAGAACAAAUGUGUAGUAACUAUGCACGUCUUGACGGUACCUAAUCAGAAAGCCACGGCUAACUACGUG